CCUACGGGCGGCAGCAGUGGGGAAUAUUGGGCAAUGGGCGCAAGCCUGACCCAGCAACGCCGCGUGAAGGAAGAAGGCUUUCGGGUUGUAAACUUCUUUUGACAGGGAAGAGUAGAAGACGGUACCUGUCGAAUAAGCCACGGCUAACUACGUGCCAGCAGCCGCGGUAAUACGUAGGUGGCAAGCGUUGUCCGGAUUUACUGGGUGUAAAGGGCGUGUAGCCGGGUUGACAAGUCAGAUGUGAAAUCCUGCGGCUUAACCGCAGAACUGCAUUUGAAACUGUUGAUCUUGAGUACUGGAGAGGCAGACGGAAUUCCUAGUGUAGCGGUGAAAUGCAUAGAUAUCACGCAGAACUCCGAUUGCGAAGGCAGCAUACCGGCGCCCGACUGACGCUGAGGCACGAAAGCGUGGGGAGCAAACAGGAUUAGAUACCCCAGUAGUC
rnacentral:rRNA from 1 species